UUGGGAGCACAGAGCAAAUGAGUUGACCAAGGUCACAUGACAAGUAUAAAAAAACAGGGGAUCUAACUUGAAACCCUGAACUUCAACUUUUAUGCUGUGCUGUAGGUAAUUCAGUAAGUUUCCUCUAAGGAAACUGAAGUUGAAGAAUACUUCCCAAAGAGAUAGGGAAACCUAGAUUGUGGGAUAGCACAACAGGUUCUCAAAGUUUUGUCCCAGGCCAGCAGUAUCAGCGUUUUACCUGCUAACCAGUCAGAAAUGCAAUACUGAGUUAGAAUCUCUAGGAACAAGAGACAGCUGUUAAGAAGAUUCUAAACCACAUUAGCUUUAGAACAACUCUUCUGUGAUUUCAUAAGCAAAGUGCAAAACCCGAACAGCAAGAAGAUAAAAGGGAAUUUAUAGAUUAUAGCAAUAACCUGGCCUGGUGGUAAAUGUCAGUACUUCCAGAUACACUGUUGGAUCACUAGAACAGAGGGGUUCUAGACCAGCCUGGGCUAUAAAGUGAUGUCCUAGUAAAAAGAAAAAGAAAAGAAAAAAAAAAGAGUAACCAGCUGCAAUGUAUGAACCCUCAACAAUGAUUCUCAGUGACUUUAAAUUCUUCUGAGAUACAGAAGGUCAGUCUCAGCACAUGCUGUCUUGGUUCAUGGUCCUGCCACACCAUCAGGCUACAAGCUCCAUGAGGGCCUUCAGCAUUUUUGUGGCCUUCCCUGCCCCUUCUAUCUAAUGAAGAUGGAUGAAAGACCCUGGUCCCAAAAGUGCCUCUUGUGUUCCUGAACAGCACAGACCCCAGUGUGGUGACAGUGGAGUGAGCAAGGAGAAGA